UGACAUGAACAUACAUAACAUGGGUCGACAAGGAUGUCAUGAAGAUAUAUAUAAGGUACGAGCUUCCAUGCUGCUAUGACAGACUAUACAACAAAAAUCAGCCGACAAGGCAGUCCAAACUAUACAUGAGUCAACACCUGUCUAUGAGCCUCUAAAGGAAAAUAAAUGCUAUAACAUUGCUGGAAUAGGGCCCCGACAUACCCAUAAUGUCUAUAACAAAAGUUCAUACCAAGACUAUGGCAAGUCUGGAUUAGGGAUCUCGCUAAUAACCGCUGAAUUGGGCAGCCUACUGUGGUGGGGGAGCUUUGCCUACCUGUCUAUCAGGACCUGCAGCACGAUAUGUAGUAUCCACAAAUAAAAGGGAUGCCAGUACGAAUAAAGUACUGAGUAUUUAAGGCAGGAAGGCGUAAAUAAGAACAGUAAUGUAAAUAGGGAUAGAAAAUAUACAGCCUGUAACAUAUGAGUACCUCUGAGGGCUAUUGACAUGCAUGAUACAUAUAUAUAUACAUAAACUUUUUAAAAUGUAUGCCUCUGUAGGCAUCAUCAUCGUAUCGUACCCGGCCAUAAUUGGCUUAGUAAAAACAUACCCGGCCAUUAUAAGGCUCGGUAAAAUCGUACCCGGUCAUGUGGAGCUCGAUAAAACCUAAUUGAUCAGUGGUUGCAUAAUAGGUAUCGUACCUAUCCGACUAUAUCGUGGCUCAGUAGAGUAAAAUAGGUACAUAUAUAGUGCAUACUAGACUCAUUGGAAUCACAUUCUGAACCUUUCGGAGUGAUGUAAGGUCAGUAACCUUCGUACACGUUAUUAGGACUAACUCUUCAUCAUGGAUCUUAUAAGAAUCAAGAAGUACCAACAACAUUGAUAACAUAAGAAUAAGAGAAGCAACAUCAACAUCAAUCGUUCCAUAAGAAGGGAAACAAUGUAAGUACUGCUAGUUUCUAAGAGUGAAGUAUCUUUAAAAGCUCGUUCAUUACAUUUUGUACAAUCGGAGUCAUUCAAAAGAAGAAGGAAAGGGAUAGCCUCACAUACCUUGUAUAUAUUACCCAACCUCAAGCUAUGCAAAUGUCACGACUCCCUAAUCUACAACAAGAGAAAUGACAAUGUCGUUAUCAUUUAAGCAUCGUAACUAUUACAUAUCGACCGCAACCUAUUUUACGAUGAACCAUACAAUACCUCCCCUAAUUAUAUGACUUCCCACGAGUUAAAACAAUCACGAAACAGCCCAAAAAACAUCAAUAAUAAUCAUAUUAAGCCUCCCAACAUAGUCCACCAACCAACAACAUACUAACAAGUCUUUCGAUAGAUAACUCACAAGUUUUAGCUUCAACGACUUAGCCUCAACAUGGAUAAUCUUAAAUACAUGUAGAGUAAGAGGUUACUUACCUUUAAAUGGAUAGAUAAAAUCCAAUUUGACCUUAAUUCACCACGAAAUAUCCUUCCAAUGCUGCCACAAGAACAAGGAAGCGAAACUAGGGUUUUCCGGCACUAGAAUCACUUUGGAAAACUUGAAAUCACCUAGGGUUGAUAUUAAAAACUUGAGGGAGUAUUUUACAGAACAUAAACCACUUAAAAAAACCUCCCAAGUGAGCUGGAACCACACAAAAAUCAGCAACAAGAAGAACAAGAAACUUACUAGCACCACGGGAUUUCGGACACUUGAUUUGUGUUGUUUGCCCUUUGUUUGGGUCUUGGAUCAUGAGAGAACCUUGAGAGAGUGUUUUUAGGUGUCUAGGGUCUGAUGAUAAUGAAAAGUAAAGAGUUAAAAGGGGGUUAAGGCAUCUCAUAUAUAUCAAUAUAUCUCAACCGCCUAUAUGGGCCCCAUAGAGAGCUACUUGUGAAGUCUCGCAAAAACGCGAAUAUCUCUCUACUCCGACAUCGUAUCGACGAAUGGUUUAAUGAGUUGAAAACUAGAAUCAUAGAUAUUCAACUUGGUGGGUAUAUCACCCCAUCAUUGCAAGAAAAUUUAGUAACAUUUGACCUAAAGUAUAAGUAAAAUUAUGUACGUAAGUUGCGACAACUUCUGUCGACUUUUGUUUCAUAACUCGUUUGACUUCAAAACAUAUGAUACGGAUAUUAUAUGAUUCAAAUACCUUAAAAACGACCUCUUGAGAAUAUUAAGAACCUCUAGUUUUACCCAAAAAUAUGGGUUACAACAUCCUUGAUUUGUUUAACUUCUAAUACUUGUUAACCACUCUUAUACACUCUUGUAUCAUUUAAGGCCAAUAUGAUUAACUUCUUAUCAUCUCAAAGAUAAUCGCUUUUCGUAUUUAUGUCGACUAACUUACGGUGUGAUCUAACAUACAUGAAUAUGGGUUGUAACAGUAUAGAUAUGAUAAAGAGAUUACAAGAUUUCUUAGCCAUGAAGCUCUUUCCAAAACUUGAGCUAUAAGGAGAAAGGCGGACUUCAAAGUCUUAUCUAUGUCAUAAGGAUCGUGUUUAUGUGUUCACUUCUUGAUUUUGAGUUGCGGAUGAUGGACUUGCUUCAAAACCCUAAGGAACAUCUUGGAGAGCUAUGGAAGCUCUACUUGGGCGUGAAUUUUUUGCAAAUAGAGGAAAAAGAAGGCUAAGUCUUCUAUUUAUAGUAAGGUUGAAAAGUCAACCACAUGUGCUUCACCGGCCCUUCUUCCGAUGCCCAUAUCUCUUUAUCCAGACGUCGUAUAAAUGAGCGGUCGAGAGAGUUGGAAACUAACUUACAUGACCUUAAAUUUGGUAUAUAAUAUGUCCCCGAAAUAACUCAUAUAACACACAAAAUUAAUUGCUCAAAAAACUUUGUUACAAGGCAAAUCCUUAAUCGAUUCUUCCGCAACUUAAAUCUGAUUUUUUCCAAACUUUAUAUUCUAUAUUCAAACAUCAUAUAUAGUAAUAUUAUAACUUUAAAAUCAUUUAAAUCAUGCUUAAAAAUUCAUUUACACAAUAUACGACAUCACAUAUGUAUGGGGUGUGACAAUCUCCCAAUCUUAAGAACAUUCGUCCUUGAAUAUUGACUGAGGUAUACAAAAGCAUUAAGCAAUGAUCCAUUACAUACAUGGAGUAGUGAAGAGGUGUGGAUAUAUGGCUCUCAUAUCCUUCUUAGCUUCCCAAGUCAUCUCUUCCACAUUAUUGCUUCGUCCUCAACCGACGAACCUGCUGAUCUAAAAUGGCAACUAGUACCUCCUCAUAAGUUAAUUGCUUGGUGAUCUGUACAUCAUCAACUAGUACUACUCUAGAAGGAUCUCCAAUACACGUCCGAAGCAUGGAGACAUAAAACACUAGAUGUACCUCUUGAAGGUCUGCUGGAAGGUCCAACUCGUAUGUUACACGACCAGCUCGUGUGAUGAUCAGGUAUGGACAUAUAUACCUAGGGCUAAGCUUUCCCUUUUUUCAGAACCUUAUAACACCUUUCAUAGGUGACACCUUCAGGAACACCUAAUCAUCAACUUGGACUUCUAGAUCUCAGUAUCGAUUGUCUGCAUAUGAAUUCUGUCAACUUUGGGUUGCUAGCAAUCUCUCCCUAAUCAGCUUAACCUUAUCCACUUCUUGUUGGAUCAUAUAUGGGCCUAUAAGUUGAUACUCACAAACUUCAAACCAUCCUAUGGGUGAUUUGCACUUACGCCCAUACAAAGCUUCAUAAGGUGUCAUUUUUAUGAUGGAAUGAUAACUAUUGUGGUAUGCAAACUCUAUCAACGGUAAGUGUUCAUCCCAGCUACCUUUGAAAUCUAACAUACAUGCCCUUAACAUGACCUCGAGCAUCCAUAUGAUUCGCUUGACCUGUCCAUCUAUCUAGGGAUGAAAAGUUGUACUCAAAUUCAAUUGCUAGAAGUUAGCUGUAAACUGUGCGCCUCUACCUGAAAUGAUAGAUAUUGGAACGCUUUGGAGAUGUACAAUCUCCCUGAUAUAAAAUCAGGCUUAAUCUUCUAUUGUAUAGGUAGUGCUAACAAGCAAGAAAUAAGUUGAUUUAGUAAGCCUGAUGACUAUAACCCAAAUAGAAUCAUACCUGCUCCUCGUACGUGGCAGUCAUGUAAUAAAGUCCAUAUUUACUACUUCUCACUUCCAUGUUGGGAUCUUUAUCUCUUGUAACAAAUCGCUAGGCUUCUGGUGCUCAAACUUAGCAUGCUGGCAGCUAGGACACUAGGCCACAAACUCUACUAUGUCACAUUUCAUUCCACCCCACCAAUAAAUCUGCUUAAGAUCAUGGUACAUCUUAGUAGAGCCUGGAUGAAUUGUGUACCUGGAAUGAUGUUCCUCUACCAUAAUUUUCAUGCGUAACCCUGCAGCGUCUGGAACAAAGAGCCUAUCUUUAUAUCUGAGGACUCUUUUACUAGUAACUAUGUAAGGAGACUUUUUAUUUUUCCUGGCUACCAUACUGUACUUAAUUAGAACUGGAUCUUCAUAUUACCUCUAUUUCACUUCGGUCACUAAACAAGUGGUAGUCGUAUUCUGAACUAUAACUUUUGCAUCCUCUAAAUCUAUCAAUUUAAUACCCAAACUGGCUAACUGAUGGAGUUUAUGAGCUAACUCCCUUUUUUUAGGCUGAAAGCAAGCUAAACUCCCCAUGGACUUAUGACUGAGAGCAUCAACUACAACACUAACUUUACCUGGAUGAUAAAGAAUGUCAACGUCGCAGUCCUUUAGAAGCUCUAACCACUUUCUUUGCUGCAAGUUCAACUCCUUCUAUUUAAUUAUGUACUGGAGGCUCUUAUGAUAUGUAUAGAUAUCAACAUUAAUGCCAUAGAGAGAGUGCCUUCAAAUCUUCAGUGCUUGAAUAAUCGCUGCUAGCUCCAAGUUAUGUGUAGGAUAAUUCUGUUGUGCUUCUUCAAUUGUCUAGAAGCAUAAGGAAUUACCUUUUUGUGAUGUAUCAGCACAUAACCUAGGCCAAUUCGAGAAGCGUCACAAUAAAUAACAUAACCCUCAGAUCCCUCUAGAAGUGUAAGAACCGGAGUUGUAAUCAACCUGUUCUUCAACUCCUGCAAACUCUUCUCACAUUCAUCUAACCACUGAAAUUUGGAUGCUUUCUGUGUUAAUCUAGUCAAUGGCGCUGCAAGGGAAGAAAAGCCUUCUACGAACCUCUUGUAAUACCCUGCUAAACCCAAAAAGCUACGUACUUCGAUUGGCGUUAUAGGUCUAGGCCAAUUCUUCAUUGUCUCUAUCUUCUGACCAUCUACUUUGAUGCCCUCUGAUGAUAUAUAUGUCCAAGAAAUGCUACCGAAUUCAACUAGAAUUUGCACUUCAAGAAUUUGGCAUACAAUUUCUUGUCUCGGAGGAUACCCAACAUUAUGCGCAGAUGCUUCAGACUUGGAAUAAACCAGAAUAUCAUCAAUAAACACUAUCACUAAUAGGUCCAGAUAAGGCCUAAACAUGUUGUUCAUAAGAUCCAUAAAUACCGCUAGGACAUUAGUCAACCCAAACGACAUUACUAGAAACUCGUAAUAGCCAUAUUGGGUUCUGAAUGAUGUCUUAGGUAUCUCACAUUCUCUGACUCUAACCUAAUGGUAGCCUGAUCUCAAGUCUAUCUUCGAGAAGAACUUAGCACCCUGAAGGUAGUUGAACAAGUCAUCAAUUCUGGGAAGAGGACAUUUGUUCUUGAUCAUGACCUUGUUUAGUUGUUUGUAAUCUAUGCACAUACGUAGGGAGCCAUCUUUUUUUCGCAAAUAAUAUUGAUGCUCACCAAGGAGAAGUAUUGGGUCUAAUAAAACCCAUAUCAAACAAAUCUUUCAACUGCUCCUUAAGUUCCUUUAAUUCUGUUGGUGUCAUCCUGUAAGGAGGAAUAGAUAUUGGUUGCUUACCCGACACUAUAUCGAUGGGAAAGUCAAUUUCCCACUAUGGAUAAAGACCUGGAAGAUUAUACGGAAAUACGUUAGGGAACUCAUUCACUAGUGGAACUGAUUCAAGAGUCAGUAUUCCCUUCUCUAUGUCUCAAACAUGAACCCAUGAUAUAAGCAUCCCUUAGCGAUCAUCCCUCUUGCCUUAAGGUACAAAAUAAAUCUACCUUUUAGUGAUGCAGAAACACCAUUCUAUAAAUGACCCUUCUAGGAAAUCUAAACGAGACCGUCUUCGCUCUACAGUCAACAUUAGCAUAGCAAGAAGACAACCAAUCCAUACCAAGUAUAACAUCAAAGUCAACUAUUUCUAACUUAAUAAAGUCAGCUAUAGUACUAGGGUCACCAAUCACAACCGUGAAACCUCUAAAAACUAGCCUAGCUACUAUUGAAUCACCAACUGGGGUGGCUACCUCAAAAGGUUUAAUGGCAUCUAGUUCUAUCCUAAACUUAGUAGCAAGAAAGGGAGUGACAUAUGAUAGUGUAGAACCAGGAUCUAACAAUACAUACACAUUCUGAGAAUUCACUUAUAAAGUACCUAUAACCACUCUAGUGAAGCCUCCUAGUCCUGACGACCAAACAGAGAGUAGGUGCGGUUCUGGGGACCGCCUGUAGUAAGAGUUCCGCCUCGGCCUCUACCAUGGUCUGCUAGUGUCUGAGGAACUUGCCCUUGCAAGCGUGCUGGUGCUGAAGAAGCUGCAACUAAUCUUGCCGACUGAGAUGCACCAUUACCACCCCUAAACGAGCAUUCUCUCAUAAAAUGACCUGACUCACCACAAACAUAACAUGCAUCUUAACCCAAUUGAAAUCGGUCCAAAUAGUGUCUACCACAAUCAAAACACCUAGGGUAAAGUGAACCACCCUGACUAGAAACACCUCGAUACUAGGACCUUGAAGCACGUGAUUCCUGACUAGCUCUAGACUAUGAGGGUCAAUUAGAUCUCGGCCCCUAAAAUCGUGAAGGAGUACUAGCUGCUGUCGACGUAACAACUAUAUUGUCUAGAAGCACCAGAUGUCUCACCAAAAGAAUACUUGCAAUGUCCACACUCGACUGAAUACGUCCAAUGUCCACACUCAAAUGCAUAGAUACAGUCAUAUAUUCACUUACUAAGUGAGGACCAAGUCUUGCUACACAUGUGUACCAUGUCCUCCAUGUCUGAUACAACUGCAAGAGCAAACCUCUCCAAAGAAUUAAAGCAAAGGUUCAAUUCUGCAAUACUCAUACCCCCUGUCUCAAUGUCAGGAACUUAUCCAAUCAUGCUCUACGUGUCUCUAUAGGUAAGUAAUGGUGGAGAAAUGCCUCUAAUAACUCCCUACAGGUAAUUGGAGCAGUAUUUGCUACCCUAGACAUCUCCCAGUGGUAUAUCAACCUGCUGCUAGAUCUUGUAAUCUAUAUGCCACCAAUUCAACUGACUUUCUAUAUAUGGCAUGCAUAACUCUAAGGGCUCUAACUACUCUAUCUAGAAAAUUUUGGGGAUCCUCUGUUGUACUAGAUCUCGUGAAAAUUGGAGGCUCUAAUAUGAGGAAAUCAAGAAUCAUAGAACUUGUAUCAUCACCCUGAGGACCAUUAUUCUACCAUCUGGACUGGGUAGCUACAAUUCUAGUUAACAAUCUAACUACAUCCCUCAUGUCGAAGUAGACGGAGGUGUGGUAGCUGGAGCACCACCUAACUUCUCCCUAAACAAACAUAGUCCAUGAAGCUCUGGAUGGAACCUCAUGUCUGGAUCCUUAUGCUCAUCUAACUUAGGUGGUACUCUGCUAGAACCCUGGCCAGCAAUGGUUUUGCCCUUCAAGGCAGUUGUGAAUCUCUUUGGAGGAAUCCCUACAUAUAAAAUAUUUCAUUAGAAGGCUGAAUUCUUAUAACAUAGCUCAAUCGCACAAUCUAGAGAAGAAGGAAGGACAACCAUUCUAUAAUGCCCUGCAGCCUCAUGUUCAUAAGUAUGGUGUGCAACUUACUCUUGAAUAAGACUCCACUAUACAUGGCUUGUAGACACCCAAGGACUGAACUGCUCUAAUACCAUGUUUGUCACGACCUACCUAGGGCCGCGAAGGAUAACCGACACUAAGUACUGAUCAUCACUAAACCUGCUAAUAAUCUACUAAUCAUGAAUUUAACUGAUAAACUAAACAAGCAUAAACAUAAUUGAUAAGAACAGUACAAUUUUGUAGCCAACAAGGCUAACACAAGCUGACAUAUAAAAACAUACUAACUGCACAGGUGCAUAUCUACAUGCCUCUAGGAGUGCUGAACUAAAUAAGUAUUGGACGGAACAAGGUCACUCCAUACCCAAACUAGUUGAAUGUACACAUACAAAGAGAUAACUUACUCCCGGAGUAAGCAGCGUGACUCCAAUAGCUGGUGGAUGUCCUACUGAUGUGGCUCAAGCGUUGAUUUAUCUGUACCUGCACGACAAGAAACGAAACACCUCAGAAGGGACGUGAGUACAAUAUGUACAAAGUAUGUAGGAUGGAAAGCAUACUAAAGUAUGAAUAUACGCUGGAAAUCUAAAUAUAAGCUGGAAGCUAAACAAGAGUCUGAACUAGCAACUAAUCUAGAACUAAACUGAAGUUUAAGUUGAAACUAUGCUGAAAUUGAACUACUAUCUGAACUGGUACCUGACUGGAGUUAUCCUCUAUAUCCCCCAAUAAGGUAACUGUACAUCUGAACUGGCCUCCGAUAUCGUCGUGCAAUACAAACUGUAACUAUAUACACGUAUAUAACAUGCCUGACUGGCGUUAUGCGCUAUAUCCCCUAGCAGAUAAAUAGGACUGGUUGGUGUUAUGGGCUAUCUCCCCCAGCAUAUAAUUAAUAGGCCUCACUGGCGUUAUGGUAUAUAUAUCCCCCCCCCCCCCAAUUAUAAUCAAUGUAAGCAUGUGUGAGGCAUAAAACAUGUGGCAACAUCAUAUAAAAUCAUGAGAUCACGAAGGAAAGCAUAAACAGAAUCACAAACGUAAUCUGACGCUCGUCAUCCAUAAGUUUGAUGGAGCCAAUACCUAUUUUAAAGACAAAAUGAGUAUGUACAUUGGAUACUAAGGCUAAUUAACUCAUUAGGAUCCCUCUAGAAUCAAUUUAGAACCAAGGAACUUAAUAUUUGUCCCACUCUUUGAAUUUCCAAAAUUUCGGCAGAGUUUUCCUAAAACUUGAUGAUCCUAAAAUAAAAAAAACACCACAAUAUACAAGGGAAUCAAUACCUGACUAAGAUGAUAACAUAAAACUAAAGGUGGUCAAAUUAUCCACAACAGUGUCAAAUGAUCAACAAAACAGAAUUAUGAAGGUAAUGUCGGCUCAUAAUGACUAACUUGUGACAUGAAAGUCUAAAUACGAUUUAGGACUAAUAUAAGCAUCAAUACAUGAUAAUUAAGUAUAAUAUUAAAUGAAUAUAUUUGGAUCAUAAGGGGGUUAGGUAUAUAUAAAAACAACAAAUGAACGGAACAAACGGAUGUUCGGAUGGCAUAGGCCAAAUGGGCGAUUCGCCCUUUUUUGUUGUGUUUUGAGGUUCCAACCUAAACUAGUUUCUUCGAUACUUCCCAUAUGAAAUUUAAUACUAUACAAGGAUACAAUACAUGAUUAAAUUUCCCUUUAAUAACUCUUAAAAGAUCAAUAAGAAAGGGUAAAACUUAGCUAAACCAAACCAUACUGAAAAUGAAGCGAAAACGCUACAUACCUCUUGUGUUCUCGCUUACAAACAUUGUUCCCUUUGAUCCACACCCUUCCUUAUGCUUGUAUAGAUAAAAUACAGAGGUUACCAUCUUUAUCAGCCACUAAGCUCUAUCCAAAACUUGAUUUAUAAUGAAAAAGGAGGACGGCAAAGUCUUACCAUGUCGUAAGGAUCAUGUUCGUUUCUUGAUUUUGAGUUGUGGAUGAUGGACUUGCUUCAAAACCCUAAGGAACAUAUUGGAGAGAUAUGUAAUCUCUUCUUAGGCAUGAAAUUUAUGCAAAAUGAGGAAAGAAGAAGACUGUGUCUUCUAUUUAUAGUAAGGUUGAAAAGUCAACCACAUGUGUGCUUACUGAUCCUUCUUCCGACGCCCAUAUUUCUCUAUCCAAACAUCGUAAAAAGAGAAGUCGAGAGUGUUAGAACCUAAAUUUCAUGAACUUAAAUUUGGUAUAUAAUAUGUCCCAAAAAUACCUAAUAUAACACACAAAAUUAAAAAAAGCUUCGUUACAAGGCAAAUCCUUAGUCGGUUUUUCCGCAACUUAAAUUUGAUUUUUCCUAAACUUUAUAUUUUAUAUUCAAACAUCAUACAUAGUCAUAUUAUGACUUUAAACUCAUUUAAAUCAUGCUUAUCAAGUCAUUUACAUAAUAUACAACAUCACAUAAGUACGGGUAUAAUAAUUUCUUUUCAUUAGUGAAGUUUAUUUUUGCAUAUUAUUUGUUGGCUUGUCUAGCAAGCGGUGUUAGGAUCCAUCAUAGUUUUUAUGGGAGUUUGGGUCGUGAUAAGUUGGUAUUAUAGCACUAGUUUGCAUAAGUCUCGCAAUUCAUGAGCAUGCCUAGUAGAGUCUUGUGGAUCGAUACGGACGUUUGUACUUAUCUUUGAGAGGCUAUAGGGCUUUAGGAAACUUACCCUUUAUUGAUUCCUUUCAUGCGAUUUUAUUUUGUCCUUAAGCCUAUAUAUUAAAUUCUUUCCUACCCAUUUUGUACUCAGUUCUGAGUACUCAAUAUCAUAUGGGCACCGACGAGCUUUGAUGAUGAUACAAACAUGAUGAGGGAUUUUUUCUCUUGUGUGGGAGGUUAGAAUAUUAUUGUCGCUUUGCAGAUGAGUUAUUAGAGCCCAAGUGUCACACCUCCUUUUUCCUAUCCCCGAGGGAGAUAUAAGGGAGUUUUUUCAAUUUAAGUGACAAUCAAAACAGGAUUAUUUCAUUUAAAGAUUCAGAGUCACCACUUGGGAUAAUUUAUGGUGUCCCAAGUCACCGGUUUUAAUCCCGAAUCGAGGAAAGAUUGACUCUGUUUUACAGUCCGCGGACACAGAAAUCCGGGUAAGGAAUUCUGUUAACCCGGGAGAAGGUGUUAGGCAUUCUCGGGUUCCGUGGUUUUAGCACGGUCGCUCAACUGUUAUAUUGGCCUAAUUAUCUGAUUUUAAUACAUGUUUUAGCCUAUGGUAUAUUUUAACUUAUUAGCCGCUUUUAAUUAAUUUUAGGAAGAUUUAACGUUAUCUAAAACACAUCUUGAACCAUGCCACAUGAAAUGCACUCGCAGUCCACGACACAUUUUAUUUACGUUGUUCAGAAUUGGAGAUGGGUCACAUGAAAUGCACACCCGAGUUUAAGGAAAUUAAUUUAAAUUACGUGCCUAAAGCAACUAAGCACUUUCAAGUUUGCGAGGGCCAUGGAAAAUUCAACUAAAUAGCACACCUCGAUUCUAUUUGUCAAAGAAAUCUUGAUCUAAUUCUAACAGGGCCAUAAGUUAUGGACAAGAUAUUAUUGUGGAAAACACCCUUCAAUGGCAAGAACUAAUUUUUGGAGCAGCUAAAUUAAUUUCUUUAUAAAAAAUGAGCUAUAUCAGAUUUAAUGCAUCAAACCAAACGGAAACGGAAAUAAACAAACGCAAUCUGUCCCAUUACAAGGGCCAAUAAAGCACUACCAAAAAUUCGAGAUGCCAAAAAUUUGAUAGUAACAAUCGGAUCCAAACACAUGUGUCACAGAGAAAAAUAGAGGGAGAUGCAAAGCUAACCAACUCCUUGCUUCUUAGCUUUACCAUUUGAAAUGGUUGGCAAUUUUUUGCAGAAUACUCAAAUUGGCGUGGAAUUUCAUUUGGCGCAAGAGACAUCAUUUAGGAAAUAAUGAAUGGAAUCAUCAUACUCAAAAUAUAGCAAUGUUAAAACCAUAGUGUCUUUAUGUCCAACAGUACGUUUGCAAAUUUAGAAUACAAUUAAGACACUCCAAUGAAUGCAACCCAAUUAUAAAUAAUCAAGUUAUUUACAAAGUCAUUGUGGCCACAAUUUGGGUAAUCAUCACAGUGCUACUCAUAUUGCCAAAGAAUCUCCCAAACUUUACUGCCGACAUCGAAUUAAUAUGAUAACUUCCAAUAAAAUUUUUAGACGUUCAUACAUGAUGGUUCUCAAACUUGACUGAAGCUAGUUGGAUUUUAUUUAGAAUUAGUCCAAACCAUUAUAUUCACAUUAGGCAACAAACUAUAUUUGAGCACUCCACCUUACUUCAGUGAACAAACAAAAUUCCACUAAUAUAUUCAAAUACUCAAAGUAAAGAAAAAUCUUCCAACAACAACAUAAUAUAGGUAAAUAAAGCGACACUCAUAUAUACAUGCCAAAACAAAUAUAAGUACGGACAGAUAGGAAAUCAAACAACAGUCAUGAUUUAGGAAUAGAAAAGUUCAUCAACCAGCUAGUUCAAUCAAAACAAUAGGAAAUCAAAGUGAUAAAUGGCACCUUUUAAAGAAAUUCGGAUGAAGCCUUUUCCAUUGUUUGAUUCAAUACAAAAUUAAUUCCCAAGUGAAAGCUUCAAAAUAGAGCUUGAAAUAAGCCACAACUGCCGAAUAAUUGAGCGAUGACACCCAGCAAUCUCGGAAGUAACACAGUCCCGCAGAAACAGUAGCAAUUUCCUUUACAAAACCGAAUUUUGGAAGCUCAUUUCCUUCUCAGAUCUGUUUUGUAAGAUUCAAAGAAGCAAUAGAAAACCAUUUUUCAGUUGUUUCGUGUGUGCCGAUGGGGAGAUGAGGAGGAUGAAAGCGAGAUGAGAGAAUCAAGGAGAGGGUAUCACGGCUAGUUGGUGUUUUUCGCAAACAAAGCUGAAGAAGACGACUUAGGGUGUGCCGUUUCUUUAGGGGUUGGAUCUGAUGGAUUUUGUCACUCUCCUUUUUUGUUUUUCUAAUUAUGUUUUAUAUGUAUGUAGGGGUAGGGUAAAGGGUAAUGGGUAUUUGGGU
rnacentral:lncRNA from 1 species